CAAUUUUUUUAACCAAAAGAAUGUCCCCCCAAAAUCUUUGUUUCAGCAGAUCCAAAGCAGCUUUCCAGCAGGAAUCAGCUGUGUGUGAUGGAGACCCAUCUGCUUUUACCAUGGUAAAGGUGCUCAGGGUGAGAUGUCGUUUCCUCCA